ensembl:lncRNA novel transcript
GAGCAGAAAGCUUAUUUCAGGGAAUCAAAGGGGCAGCAAGAAAAAAAUGCGAAAGACAAUUAAGAAAGAGAAAUACACCCUCAGCUUCCAAACCUGCCUGGAUACCUACGUUGAGAGUGUAUCACACACUUCAAAUGUUUGACAAAGGUCCCAGCACUAAGAGGGCUACGUCAGACCACCAAGAUCCUGGGCAUACCUGGAAGAAACUUCAGGUUUUUCAGGGUCUUCAGAAUAACGUGUUUACAAAGAUAAAUAAAUUUCCCCUUUGCUAUUGA